AAACCUUUCAAAGGGGAGUAGCGUUAGGGAAACCUAAAACAAAGUCGUCAGUACGUGGUUUUUACCAUCGGCUUUGUUGGCAUUUUUACAAUGUC
rnacentral:sRNA from 2 species